rnacentral:tRNA from 1 species
UGGCCAGCGGCGUGCUGGCGGGCGUUGCCCUGGGCCUGCUUGGCUUGCGGCUCAGUCGGUUCCAGGUCGACCCGGUCAA